rnacentral:rRNA from 1 species
AGAGUUUGAUCCUGGCUCAGGACGAACGCUGGCGGCGCGCCUAACACAUGCAAGUCGAACGAGCGAGAGAGAGCUUGCUUUCUCAAGCGAGUGGCGAACGGGUGAGUAACGCGUGAGGAACCUGCCUCAAAGAGGGGGACAACAGUUGGAAACGACUGCUAAUACCGCAUAAGCCCACGACCCGGCAUCGGGUAGAGGGGAAAGGAGCAAUCCGCUUUGAGAUGGCCUCGCGUCCGAUUAGCUAGUUGGUGAGGUAACGGCCCACCAAGGCGACGAUCGGUAGCCGGACUGAGAGGUUGAACGGCCACAUUGGGACUGAGACACGGCCCAGACUCCUACGGGAGGCAGCAGUGGGGAAUAUUGCACAAUGGGGGAAACCCUGAUGCAGCGACGCCGCGUGGAGGAAGAAGGUCUUCGGAUUGUAAACUCCUGUUGUUGAGGAAGAUAAUGACGGUACUCAACAAGGAAGUGACGGCUAACUACGUGCCAGCAGCCGCGGUAAAACGUAGGUCACAAGCGUUGUCCGGAAUUACUGGGUGUAAAGGGAGCGCAGGCGGGAAGACAAGUUGGAAGUGAAAUCCAUGGGCUCAACCCAUGAACUGCUUUCAAAACUGUUUUUCUUGAGUAGUGCAGAGGUAGGCGGAAUUCCCGGUGUAGCGGUGGAAUGCGUAGAUNUCGGGAGGAACACCAGUGGCGAAGGCGGCCUACUGGGCACCAACUGACGCUGAGGCUCGAAAGUGUGGGUAGCAAACAGGAUUAGAUACCCUGGUAGUCCACACUGUAAACGAUGAUUACUAGGUGUUGGAGGAUUGACCCCUUCAGUGCCGCAGUUNACACAAUAAGUAAUCCACCUGGGGAGUACGACCGCNAGGUUGAAACUUCAAGGAAUUGACGGGGGCCCGGACAAGCAGUGGAGUAUGUGGUUUAAUCCGAC